rnacentral:misc_RNA from 1 species
UAAAGCUUUAAAGCUAGGUAUAACAAGAACUGAGUGCUUCAGCUCACCUUGCUUAGGCAGCACUUAAGUGCAAACACCAAGGCAAGGUUGUUGCACUAUCUCCCUUCAACCCUUCGAGUGUAGGUUAAACAAUAAGCCUAAUGUUUUUUAAAUAUAAUAGUAAUCCUAUGUUGCUAAACCCGAAAGAAAAUAACUUAACAUAUGAUAUUAAUCGAAG